rnacentral:rRNA from 1 species
CAAACUUGGUCAUUUAGAGGAAGUAAAAGUCGUAACAAGGUUUCCGUAGGCGAACCUGCGGAAGGAUCAUUCAUAAUAAGUGUUUUAUGGCACUUUUUAAAUCCAUAUCCACCUUGUGUGCAAUGUCAGUUGAUCUUCUUUAUGGAGAUCGACCAAACAUCAACCUAUUUUUUUAACUCUUUGUCUGAAAAAUAUUAUGAAUAAAUAAUUCAAAAUACAACUUUCAACAACGGAUCUCUUGGCUCUCGCAUCGAUGAAGAACGCAGCGAAAUGCGAUACGUAAUGUGAAUUGCAGAAUUCAGUGAAUCAUCGAAUCUUUGAACGCAUAUUGCGCUCUUUGGUAUUCCGAAGAGCAUGCUUGUUUGAGUAUCAGUAAACACCUCAAAGCUUUUGAUUUUUUUUAAAAGUUUUGGACUUGAGCAAUCCCAACACCAGUCUUUUACAGAUCGGCGGCGGGUUGCUUGAAAUGCAGGUGCAGCUGGACAUUCUCCUGAGCUAAAAGCAUAUUUAUUUAGUCCCGUCAAACGGAUUAUUACUUUUGCUGCAGCUAAUAUAAAGGGAGUUUGACCGUAUUGGCUGACUGAUGCAGGAUUUCACAAGGGUCGGCAACGAUUCUUGUAAAACUCGAUCUCAAAUCAAGUAAGACUACCCGCUGAACUUAAGCAUAUCAAUAAGCGGAGGA